UCCAACCGUCGUUCGAUGCAGCCAUUCGUAACCACGUCGCUCGUCGUCUGUCGAUCGUAACCGUCGCAUCGACCCUAUUUCGGUCGAUCUUGCUAGCCAACUUCUCCUGUCCAGCACCGCUCCUCCGUGUGCCGCACGUUGUCCACAAGUUGACCAGCGCCUCUGCAGUAGUCGUGCCUUUUGCCAGCUGUCCGCAACCGAACUACCGUCGUUAGACACGUCCGCACCCGAGCCGCCGCCGCCAGACGCUACAUCUCUCCUUCAGUUGACCAGAUCCGCGCCGGAUUCGUCAUCAGCCACUAGCUCUACGCGUCGGAUUCCUCCUGUCGUUGCCGUUAUUGCUUGUGCCGUCACAAGAUCUAUUAAUUUGGGUAAGAUUUCUGCCGUUUGGGUUUAUUUUCAGUUGAUUCUUGAUUGCCCGUUUACUUUUCAUACUAAUUGGUUGAGGUUCUUAUGUUUCAACUUUGGAUUCGAGUUCUUGAAGGAAUUGAGGUGCUGCUAGGUGAAGUUAGAAUUGUUUUAGCGGAUUUGGUGCACCUUGUAUAUCACACCUUGGGGUCGUUACUUGGAGUUGUUGGUUUCGACUGUCUGAUUUUAUUUGUGGAUUUUCGAUUAAGGUAAGGGCCGGGACGUGCCGGCAAAUGACAAGAGGAAUCCAUGAACGAACCACUGGACCAGUUUUAUGCUUCCACUCAUGAUAUUUAGAUUUCUUUUAAUGUUUUUUCAACUUUCUAUUUUGAUGUUUGAAAAUUACGGUUAAGAUUUAUUUUUAGACCUAUUUAUUAUCAUUUAUGAUUUAUGGAUACCCUAUAAUUUGCUUUUAAUAUUUGAAUUUAAUGGAGGUCUUUUGAAUUUACCUUAUUUAUUUAGCAUUUAUUUCACUAUAAAAGGGUGUCGUCUUAAGUUCUAUAUAUGCAUGUGUUUAGUAACGGCCUAGCUUGAGUCCUAGGGAGUCGGGUCGUUACACACAAGAUGUCGUCGAAGAGGAAGACAAGCAAACAGCUAAAGAAGGUGGACGGAGGAUGGUGGGGGUUGUGACGUGCAUUCGGGGGUGUCACCUUUUUUUCCCCUUUUUUAUUUCCAAAUUUUGUUUUUUUUAUACUUUUUUUUGUUAAGUUUUUUUACAACUACUUUUUUUAGCAAAAGAAUUGGAUUUGCCAUUUUUGUUUUAUUAUCUUUUAUUGACUUGCCCCCAUAUUUUUACAGGCUUAAGCUAUUGGUAGCUUUUAUCCCAAUUGAAGAGCAAACUAUUUUUUCUUUUGCGAAUCUCCACAUAUUUUACCAAAAGAGCAAUGGUUUACUUCACCGAACAUAUCUCAUCUAGAAAGAAACAACUUGUAAUUCUUGCAGAUAGGAAUCAACCUAUAACAAAUGAGCUUAGCUUUCAUGUGGAGAAGCCAUUAAUUGGCCCUUUCGUAAAUGUAUGGUCUAAUUUGGACAACGACAUGACUCCACUCGAAUUAUUAGCGGAGGUGCCCUUGACUCAAGGAGAAAAAGUAUGGAUAUUACAAUCUUCCAUUCAUGAUAAAACCCUUGCCCUUGAUCAGGUGUUAACUCUUAGGCUUCACUUGAUUGAUGAUGAGAAUCGUUGGAAUGCCA